rnacentral:sRNA from 1 species
GUGGUUCAGCUUUUGGACCGGCUCCCUUGAGUUGGCGGGGCGUGACUUCAAUUAAAGUGAUUUGUGGCCUCCGCUUCUGACACACGAGACGUAAAUAGCGGCCCUGAAUUAUGGUGCUGCUAAAAUAUGUAUACUAGAGCAUAGUCCUCGGCCCACCGGAGGAACAGAAACCGCCUUGAAGUUUGCUAAUUGAACAGCUCCUUACUUAUUGCCUCUCUGGCCCGAAAAUCGACAACAAAAUGCCGUCGGCUGAAUCGAAAAUGUCGGCAAUUCGGAUUCCCGGCGAAGAGGCAGUGGAUUCCAUGGAGCCCCAUGAUGGCCGAGCUGGAUAUGAAGAAGAAGAGGCGAGGCAGAGGAAUGCCAUUGGAAUGUGCGACGCCAGCAGCGCUGCCUCCGAUUUUCAAUGGUUGCCUAGCGACAGCGACAGCGGCAGCCAUCAUGGAUGUGAAAGGGAGCGUGCUCUUCGCCUCUCUCGCUCGUGCCAACGGCCGUGCGGUAUCGGUAUUCCACAGCGGCCAUGCUGCUCUGCUCGCCACUCACCUGCGACGUCGGCUGUUGUGAAGUUCUUGCGACGUGAGCGACCGAAACUCGGGGCCCCGAAAAACCAGAGGCCGAAAAAACAGGAUUGUGAGUGAGCGGAGAGGGGGCGGAGGAAUUUCGAGGGAGUUUCUGCGACGGCGUCGUCGCCCAGACAAAAAAUGCAGAAGCAAAGGCCGACAGACGAAGGAAGUUGCCCAGGUUUAAUUACACAUCGACCCCUGGAGCGAGGUCUUAACCCGACGGCAGCUGCAUCAGUUCUUCGAGGGACUUGCAGAUGGAUACUCUGGGCACUCGUCUGCGUCUUCGCGCGUGUGUGUGUGUUUUUAUAACAUUUGUGGAUUACGCCUAUAAAAACUACACCUCACCGCGGAGCCAGCGAAGUGGGACCAGCUACAACAAAGGACAAUAAUUAUUCAGCAGAAAUGAUACAACCUGUCGCUCGAGAGAUUACAAACGGAGCUGUUUUUAUGGUUUGUUCCGCUUUUGUUUAACGAUUCCGAGGAUCACACGUAAUGCCCACGCAAUCCACCACCGAAGUCAGAAAACCGACUCAACGAAAAGCAGCGCAGCGCACCGCAACUCGACUCAACUCGACUCGACCGAAACUCGACACUUAUCCCUGGGAACUCAAAAUAGUGCUUUAUUGUUGGAAAUUACGCUUCUCUUAUUUAUUUACUUUUUCUGCAUUUCGUUGCCGCUCCACUCACUCCCACCGCUUCAAUUUUUAUAUGUUUAUUACGGUUAUUAUCGUUUAAUGGGGCUCGUUCGCUGGUUAGUGCUGUUGCUGUGUUUCUUGCCCCAGUAGUUGUGUCAGACUAACGUGUGAAGUUGUUUUAUUAUUUGUUUUGAUUAUCAAAAUGGGCGUUUUACAUUUUUCCGGUCGUUGGGCGGCCCACCUGCCACGGGCCCACCGCUUAUAGCCCACAUCCCAUAACCCCGGGGCAAAGGCAGUAAAUCACAGCCCGCUGUGAGGGGCUGAGUAUCUGGGCAGCAGUACACUCGAAAAACAAUAACCCUUCGCCCGAGCAAAUCUCUUUUAAUUAUUGGGCGGCUGGGCAUUGCAUUCCAUAUCAAAUACAUCACAGCAAUUAAGCAUUUAAUCAAUCUUUAAUGAUUUGUUGACAAUCUCCAAGUAAAGCUGUUUAAUUAAAUUAGGACUUAUUUUAAAAGUAGAUAAUAUGUAGCUUAAGU